CGCGGCCUAUCAGCUUGUUGGAGAGGUAACGGCUCACCAAGGCAUCGACGGGUAGCUGGUCGGAGAGGAUGAUCAGCCACACUGGGACUGAGACACGGCCCAGACUCCUACGGGAGGCAGCAGUGGGGAAUCUUGCACAAUGGGCGAAAGCCUGAUGCAGCAACGCCGCGUGCGGGAAGACGGCCCUAGGGUUGUAAACCGCUUUCGGCAGGGAAGAAACUGACGGUACCUGCAGAAGAAGAUGCGGCCAACUACGUGCCAGCAGCCGCGGUGACACGUAGGCAUCGAGCGUUAUCCGGAUUUAUUGGGCGUAAAGAGCUCGUAGGCGGUUCGGUAAGUCGGGUGUGAAAACUCUGGGCUCAACCCAGAGACGCCACCCGAUACUGCUGUGACUAGAGUGCGGUAGGGGAGUGGGGAACUCCUGGUGUAGCGGUGAAAUGUGCAGAUAUCAGGAAGAACACCAGUGGCGAAGGCGCCACUCUGGGCCGUAACUGACGCUGAGGAGCGAAAGCGUGGGUAGCAAACAGGAUUAGAUACCCUGGUAGUCCACGCCGUAAACGUUGGGCACUAGGUGUGGGUCUCAACCAACGAGAUCCGCGCCGUCGCAAACGCAUUGAGUGCCCCGCCUGGGGAGUACA
rnacentral:rRNA from 1 species